GUUCGUGUAGCUCAGCUGGAUAGAGCAUCCCCCUCCUAAGGGGAAGGUCGGGGAUUCGAAUUCCUCCACGAACGCCA
rnacentral:tRNA from 1 species